AAUAUUGUUUUUCCAUAUCAAAUAAAACAAGAGAGUGAUCCUGAUCCCAUCAACCUAAUUCUAGAAACAUAGAGGAAACAAGAAAAGGGAAACUAAAGUUGUGUAGGAGUGAAAUUAGAUAGAGAUUCAUCAGUGAAUAGGAAUACAAGAACAAUGCUGCUGAAAAGGAGAAGAAAAAAAAAGCAAGAAACAGUAAGAUAGAUAGAAAAAAAAUGUACAUUCAAGUGGUAGAAUUUCGGAACUAUAUGAAUGUAUGAACACAUGUUUUGGAUCUUCUCGAAUUUUGUUUAUUUGAU
rnacentral:lncRNA from 1 species